UUUACACGUACACUGAGAUUUUUGCUACAUGCCUUGUUGAUUAUAUAAAUCAAAACACGGCUGUCUAGAUCACUUUCCUGUUGCAAACCAAUAAUUAGUUUACAAAUUAUAAUAUUAUUCAGAACUUUCAAAGUCAUUAAUGGAUUUAUGGAAACCGCAAAAGUCAAUCAAGUGCUUUAAAUUAUGUAACUGAAAGCGAAAUGCGUCUUUAGAAUGGAUGUCUAAUUAAUUUUUCGUUCAAAAAUAUAUGUUCACUAAAUUGCCUACGCUCAACAAAGUCGCUUCUAUGUACCGGGGUGAAUGACACCGAAUGCAAAUACAAGGAACCUGUCUACCAAUUAAUGCCGCCUAUACCAAGGAAAAUUGUCAGAAAAUCGAAAGACCACGCUGAUUAGAAUUGAUAGGAAAUAGCUUCGAACGUUCAUUUUAUCCUGGUUCACAUGCUGUGGACGCACGUUGUGGACAGUGGACCUGUCAAUAAAAAAACAGAUGUCCAAAAUACGUAAGGAAUCUGUACAUCCAAGUGUUCAAAUUUGAUGAACAUCCUGACGUUGAGACAACGGCCUUUUGAUCUACAUAAUGACAUUAUUUUCCGAGAGAUGUUGAGUAUUUUCUUUUUUCCAUUAUCUAUGUAAUUCUGUAGUUCAUUUUCAUCCACAGCUAGUCUGAUUUUCUUUUUUUUUAUCCUACCUAAAAAUUGGAAAAAAAAGUCGAA